UCAAGCUACAAAGAGCGCAAGGGGAAUGCCUUGGCACUGGGAGCCGACGAAGGACGUAGCGAUCUACGAUAAGCCACGGUGAGCCGAAAGCAGGCAUCGACCCGUGGAUUUCCGAAUGGGGCAACCUGGCUGAAUAGAACUCAGUCAACAUACGGUGAAUAAAAUAGUCGUAUGUAGGGAACCGCCUGAACUGAAACAUCUAAGUAGGGCGAGGAAAAGAAAUCAACCGAGAUUCCGCAAGUAGUGGCGAGCGAACGCGGAAGAGGCCAAACCGAGAGUAGUAAUACUUUCGGGGUUCGGACAGCGGACGGUAUGCUGAAGGUUAGCAGAAGGACAUGGGACGGUCCACCAAAGAGAGUGAAAGUCUCGUAUGCGAAAACUGAAAGCAGCCAGCUGAAUCCAGAGUACCGCCGGACACGUGAAACCCGGUGGGAAUAUGGGGGGACCAUCCUCCAAGCCUAAAUACUACCCAGUGACCGAUAGCGUAUAGUACUGUGAAGGAAAGGUGAAAAGAACCCCGGGAGGGGAGUGAAAAGAACCUGAAACCUUGUGCUUACAAGCACACAAAGCACGUCAACGUGUGAUGUGGUACCUUUUGUAGAAUGGUCCGGCGAGUGAAUGUAACUGGCGAGGUUAAGUUCUUAAGGAACGGAGCCGAAGCGAAAGCAAGUCUGAAUAGGGCGUCUUAGUCAGUUGUAUUCGACCCGAAACCGGGUGACCUAUCCAUGUCCAGGAUGAAGUUAAGGUAAAACUUGAUGGAGGUCCGAACCCACGGUCGUUGAAAUGCCCGGGGAUGAGAUGUGGAUAGCGGAGAAAUUCCAAUCGAACCCGGAUAUAGCUGGUUCUCUCCGAAAUAGCUUUAGGGCUAGCCUCGACUGAACAUUACCGGAGGUAGAGCACUGAAUGGGCUAGGGGCCGAGAGGUUACUGAACCCUAUCAAACUUCAAAUGCCGGAAAAUGAUAGUCGGGAGUCAGACUGCGUGAGAUAAGUUUCGUAGUCGAAAGGGAAACAGCCCAGACCCACAGCUAAGGUCCCAAAGUACGGUUAAGUGGAAAAGGAUGUGGAGUUGCACAGACAACCAGGAUGUUGGCUUAGAAGCAGCCACUCAUUAAAAGAGUGCGUAAUAGCUCACUGGUCGAGUGACUCUGCGCCGAAAAUUUAACGGAGAGCGAAAGCGCUGGUGGACUGCAUUGAAGUGAGAAUGCCGGAAUGAGUAGCGAGAUUUAUGUGAGAAUCAUAAAGGCCGAAAGACUAAGGUUUCAGAAGGAAGGUUCGUCCGCUUCUGGUUAGCCGGGAGCUAAGGUGAGGCCGAAAGGCGUAGCCGAUGCACAUACGGUGGAGAUUCCGUAGCCGUCGAAAUAUUUAAGCAAAGGGACACUUAUGAAGGACAUGACCCGGGCGAUGGUAGCCCCGGGCGUAAGGGACUGAAAACAAGUAGGGAAGCAUGUUUGGAUUAAGGCGAGAAAAGCUUUGUGUAUAUAUCAGACGUCCGUACCGCAAACCGACACAGGUAGUCAGGAAGAGGAUUCUAAGGCCAACGGGAGAAGGGUAGUUAAGGAACUCGGCAAAUUGACCCCGUAACUUCGGGAUAAGGGGCGGUGCGUAAGCACCCGCAGUGAAUAGGUCCAGGCGACUGUUUAUCAAAAACACAGCUCUCUGCUAAAUCGAAAGAUGACGUAUAGGGGGUGACACCUGCCCGGUGCUGGAAGGUUAAGAGGAGGAGUGCAAGCUCCGAAUUGAAGCCCCAGUAAACGGCGGCCGUAACUAUAACGGUCCUAAGGUAGCGAAAUUCCUUGUCGGGUAAGUUCCGACCCGCACGAA
rnacentral:rRNA from 1 species